UACGAAGGGGGCGAGCGUUGUUCGGAUUUACUGGGCGUAAAGGGCGCGCAGGCGGCGGACCAAGUCAGGCGUGAAAGCCCCGGGCUUAACCUGGGAGGUGCGUCUGGGACUGGUACGCUAGAGUUCGGGAGAGGAGAGUGGAAUUCCCAGUGUAGAGGUGAAAUUCGAUAGAUAUUGGGAAGAACACCGGUGGCGAAGGCGGCUCUCUGGACCGAGACUGACGCUGAGGCGCGAAAGCGUGGGGAGCAAACAGGG
rnacentral:rRNA from 1 species